AAUCAUUUUUUUUCUAAUUUAUUUCUCUGUCUCAGAUUUUCUUCUUUCCUUUCAAUUUUGUUCUUCUUUCCUUACGCCAUCACCAUCUUCAUCUUCUUCAUUUCAGUGUCUCCUCGCAUCUCUCUUUCUUAUUCUCUAAACCACCACCACCACAUCUCUUCUUAGUCUUACUCUUCUUCAUAUGGCGGUUGACUCCGAGGAAGGACGAAUGAGAAGAGAAGAUAACAUGGUCGAGAUCUGGAAAUCCAAGAGUAAGAGAGCUUUUGCUCAAGAAGCGGCGUGAAGGUCUUCAAUCCACACAGAAACUUCAAUACGUUUCUUCUCCAUUGCUUCUGAUUCAUCCAUCGAGAAUAAGUUGGAGAGCUUGCUGUCUAUAGUUGGUGGAGUAUGGUCUGAGAAUAGAACCUUGAAGAUUGAGACAAAGGUGUGGCAGAGAGGAUAGAUAAGCCGGAGACGAAUUUGACGGUUGUGUAUGUGACGAUCUUAACAGUGGUGAGCCGAAGACGAGCUCAACGACAGUGAGUGGGAAGAGUCGUGGUGAUUCCGUCGCCGUCUCCGGCGUGGAAGGAAAGAAGAAAGAGACACGAGGACUUGGUCUUCACAGCAAAUGGUGGUUGACGGCGGCGGAGUUAAGAAGCUUGAAGGCGGCAUGGUUUUGUUAUUAAGUUUAGUUAGCAAAUAGGUUUAGGUUCAAGCUUUGUUUACUUUUGGUUUAUUUUUUUACAUGUAAACCAGUUUUAGUUUAUUAAUAAUUCAAUUAAAAAAUUUAAAAAUAUC